rnacentral:rRNA from 1 species
ACACUCCUACGGGAGGCAGCAGUGGGGAAUUUUGGACAAUGGGCGAAAGCCUGAUCCAGCAAUGCCGCGUGUGUGAAGAAGGCCUUCGGGUUGUAAAGCACUUUUGUCCGGAAAGAAAUCCUUGGCUCUAAUACAGUCGAGGGAUGACGGUACCGGAAGAAUAAGCACCGGCUAACUACGUGCCAGCAGCCGCGGUAAUACGUAGGGUGCGAGCGUUAAUCGGAAUUACUGGGCGUAAAGCGUGCGCAGGCGGUUUGCUAAGACCGAUGUGAAAUCCCCGGGCUCAACCUGGGAACUGCAUUGGUGACUGGCAGGCUAGAGUAUGGCAGAGGGGGGUAGAAUUCCACGUGUAGCAGUGAAAUGCGUAGAGAUGUGGAGGAAUACCGAUGGCGAAGGCAGCCCCCUGGGCAAAUACUGACGCUCAUGCACGAAAGCGUGGGGAGCAAACAGGAUUAGAAACCCCGGUAGUCCCA